AGACUAUAUUCUGGGAAUACGUUCACAUUAAUGUGUUAACGGUUCCUGACAAUGAAGGCUGUAUUAGGACUUUUGGUCGUGUUGGUGCUGUGUGCGGCUUGUUACGGAUCGGUGAUCCGUGAGACUACCUGCAGCGGAUUUGGCGGCUUCUGCGCUGAUGCAACAAGGACUCUGUGCCGCUUCCUUGGCCCCCAGGGAUCCUGCGCGGGGGAUCUGAUGGUCUGCUGCCUGAACCACCCAACUGACGUGGUCGGGCCCCUAGGAAAGUGAACAUAAAAACAGUAACGGCUGAGUUUGUGUCAAAGCGUGUAUUUCCAGCGUUUUCCUCAAAUGUUUUAAUUUGAUAUAACAGCUAUUAAAAUAUGUGCCUGUUUACCAAA